rnacentral:siRNA from 1 species
GAGACAUGUUCCUCCGUUGGCUC